GAUGAACGCUGGCGGCGUGCCUGAUACAUGCAAGUCGAGCGAACGGACGAGAAGCUUGCUUCUCUGAUGUUAGCGGCGGACGGGUGAGUAACACGUGGAUAACCUACCUAUAAGACUGGGAUAACUUCGGGAAACCGGAGCUAAUACCGGAUAAUAUUUUGAACCGCAUGUUUCAAAAGUGAAAGACGGUCUUGCUGUCACUUAUAGAUGGAUCCGCGCUGCAUUAGCUAGUUGGUAAGGUAACGGCUUACCAAGGCAACGAUGCAUAGCCGACCUGAGAGGGUGAUCGGCCACACUGGAACUGAGACACGGUCCAGACUCCUACGGGAGGCAGCAGUAGGGAAUCUUCCGCAAUGGGCGAAAGCCUGACGGAGCAACGCCGCGUGAGUGAUGAAGGUCUUCGGAUCGUAAAACUCUGUUAUUAGGGAAGAACAUAUGUGUAAGUAACUGUGCACAUCUUGACGGUACCUAAUCAGAAAGCCACGGCUAACUACGUG
rnacentral:rRNA from 1 species